UCUGGGAUUAGAUACCCCACUAUUCUCUCCCACCAGAUGAGUACUACGGUUCCUAAAUUAAAACUCAAAUUACUUGGCGGCCUUUCAUCACACACCAGAGGAGUUUGUGCCAUAAUCGAUAAUCCGCGAGAUACCUAACCACUCUUAGAUAAUCAGCUAGUAUAUCCUCGUCGUCAAAUAACUCUAUAAAGACGUUAUUUCGAAGUAAAUUAACCCAAAGUCAGAUCAAGAUGCUGCUAAUGGAGUGGGUGUUUCAUGAACUACAAAAGCUUUAGAAAGUUUCUAACUUAAGGUAUUAAAUAACCUAAUGUUAGGAGGAUUUGGAAGUAAUAUUCUAAAUAGAGAAAAAAGAUAUGAAAAAUGAAAUGAAAGGUGCACACACCGCCCGUCACCCUCCUCAA
rnacentral:rRNA from 1 species